GCCCAGGUGGCGAAAUUGGUAGACGCAGCAGAUUUAGGUUCUGCCGCCGCAAGGCGUGGGGGUUCGAGUCCUCUCCUGGGCACCA
rnacentral:tRNA from 1 species